ncrna:unclassified sequences Hairpin-meta1 ribozyme sequence
CAUUUGAGUUGUUAUAACUUCUUCAUGGAUAAAGCAUACUCUCAUAUCGGCUUAAGCCGGUGGCAUGGGUACGUUUAAACAUGUGUAGAGUGCAGAGGUUCCUUAAAAAGGUUUCAAACUUGCAUUUAAACUACUACAAACGAAGAAAUAACAAUGAAGAUGACCAGGGAAACAUGACGUACAGUAAUGUGCGUUAGCACAUUAACUGGU